rnacentral:tRNA from 1 species
GAGGGUAUAGCUUAGAGUUAGACUGCAUGCUUAGCAUGCAUGAGGUCCUGGGUUCAAUCCCCAGUACCUCCA